CCCCUCGCCCCGGCGUUGGGAGCCCCUCUAUGCCGGGCUGGAGCGGUGACCCCGCCGUCGUUCUCCGCCGCCGCCGCCGCGGUUGGUCACGUUGCACUCGGAGGCCAGCCCCGAGGUAUUCUCCCAACACGCCGGGGCCAUCGCCUACUUCUUGGCGGGUUAUUCUCGACCUCGCACUCUCCGCGGUCCCACCGGUUUCCUAAGGGGAUGUGUGACUAAUUUUACGCUAGUCCUGUUGUGUGCAUCAUCGCAGUUACCCAACUUCAUGUGCAGAUUUCAGAAUAAACACAUCCCCAGUU